GCCACCGCCGGCGCCGCCGGCGUUACCGUUGUUGGCGCCCACGUACGUCGGCCUCGGUCCAUUCGUGUUCUGAAAAUCAGGAGGAUCUCCGUUAAAGAGCAGCAUUUAAAUAUUAUCGAAGAUGUACGAAGGAGUGACGGGAGAAAUGAGUGGCUUUGAGAUACUUCAAUCGGACACGGUAUCGUUUCGAAUGAAAUCGUGAGUUCUAACGACAUCGAGAAUAAUUACGUACACUCAUGGAUUGCAUGUAAAAAUGUACUGUCUUAAGAGAGUCGCUUGUAGAGUACACAAGAAAGUAGAGACGUUAGUUCAGACGGACGACUUUCGUUCUGACUACGGUUGACGAUUAAAGAAAGAUAAACGUAACGUAUGUUAUCAGUUCUGGUGCAAUGCCGCCGUUCGAAAUGCCUUGUUAAGAACGUCAAGUACAUUUAUCAGUGAAUUCUUCUGUUCUGUUUGAGGUUCAGUUGGACAAUGAUGCGGUCUUAUCGCGAAACGAGUCGAUCGGUCAUCGUUACCACGUUAAUUUAUCUCUUGGGAACGGAUGAAGAUAUUUUCAGUUUAGAAUUUUUAAAUAACAGCAGUUCUGUCUCUUAUUGUCAGACAAUAAUUCAAGCAUAAACGUGAAUGUAUUGUUACUUCAUUAAUAAAACAAUAAUAAAACAAGAAAUAACUUAAAAAAAAAAAAUAAACUACAGAAACGCUUGAUGUUCCUUUGGAAAGUACUAGGAAAGUAGCUUAACGAAAUCAAGAAAGAGACGUAACACAGAACAAGAACUUAAAAAUCCCCAAUAAAGCAAAUGCAAUUAAUAAUUUAAAAGACAAUUCGCCUUCAAUUUUUCUCCCUUGACGUCAGUAUCCAUUGUGGCUGCACCGACCGACCGGACCUUUAAUAUCGAUGCGAUACCGUUGCGUCAGUCUCUAUCGAUUUUCUCGAGCGAAACGGUGUACUAUUUUAGAAAGCGAUCGCGUUUCGCCGACCCCGUAGUUUCCCGCAUACACGUCGGCCGUGCACGUCGAUAAGAUGAGAGAAAGAAAGAAAGAAAGAAAGAAAGAAAGAAAGAAAGAGAGGAGAGAUCCCCCCUCCCCAUUCGUUAUCGUUUAUCAGUGACCUCGCGCGGUCACGCCUCUCCGAUAACAAGAAAGAACGACCGUUCGGUCUCUACCUCGCGAACCUCUUCGCCUCUGAGUGCUUCAUUCUCGGUGCAUCGGGAGAUGCACACCUUUCUAACAGCAUUCAGGAGCGCCCGUAUCGAUUCACGUAUCCAUCGGGCCGCCACAGUCGUCACUUAUCGCGCAACUUUCCCAUUUUCAACGUUAUUUUCGCGACUGGAUUAUUCCUUCCUAGACUAACAGAAGAAAAGGAUUUGACGUUAUAUAUUUUCGUUGACACUUCCCCGCGCUCCCCAAACAGCUUUGAGUCAAUCAUCGAUCGUCCAGAAACCGCGGAGUACGUCCCGGUUACUCUCGCAACCGCAGCCGAAAAAUUCCGCGGUUCAAAGUGCGCUCGACGAAAGGACACCCUGCAUAGUCGAAUAUGCGCGUGACGCAACGGCGGCGGAGCAAAAUCCGACAGCGGAAUGAUUUAGCUGUGAUAAGACCCAUUGACGAUCGUGCGACGAUGACUUGGAUCUCAACGACGGCAAAAUACAGAUUGUCGUGUGAUCAGGUCAAAAAAAGAAAGAACAAAUGACAGAGUUUUAUUGGCGUCGUCGAGCAACCCUUCGAAGAAUAAAGAGAAAGACGCAUAAGUAAUAUAGAAAGAAAAAAAGAGGUGACUGCUAAAACAAAAGAAUAAAAGAAAAGAAAAAAAUAAAGAU
rnacentral:lncRNA from 1 species